rnacentral:rRNA from 1 species
CCAGACUCCUACGGGAGGCAGCAGUGGGGAAUAUUGCACAAUGGGGGGAACCCUGAUGCAGCGACGCCGCGUGAAGGAUGAAGUAUUUCGGUACGUAAACUUCUAUCAGCAGGGAAGAAAAUGACGGUACCUGACUAAGAAGCCCCGGCUAACUACGUGCCAGCAGCCGCGGUAAUACGUAGGGGGCAAGCGUUAUCCGGAUUUACUGGGUGUAAAGGGAGCGUAGACGGGCCAGCAAGUCUGAUGUGAAAACCCGGGGCCCAACCCCGGGAGUGCAUUGGAAACUGCGGGCCUGGAGUGCCGGAGAGGUAAGCGGAAUUCCUAGUGUAGCGGUGAAAUGCGUAGAUAUUAGGAGGAACACCAGUGGCGAAGGCGGCUUACUGGACGGUAACUGACGUUGAGGCUCGAAAGCGUGGGGAGCAAACAGGAUUAGAUACCCCAGUA